rnacentral:rRNA from 1 species
UACAGAGGUCUCAAGCGUUGUUCGGAUUCAUUGGGCGUAAAGAGCUCGUAGGCGGCCUGUUGCGUCCGCUGUGAAAUCCCGGGGCUUAACCCCGGGCCUGCAGUGGAUACGGGCAGGCUGGAGGCAGGCAGGGGGAGAACGGAAUUCCCGGUGUAGCGGUGAAAUGCGCAGAUAUCGGGAGGAACACCGGUGGCGAAGGCGGUUCUCUGGGCCUGUUCUGACGCUGAGGAGCGAAAGCGUGGGGAGCGAACAGG